GACGAACGCUGGCGGCGUGCCUAAUACAUGCAAGUCGAGCGGACGGAUGGGAGCUUGCUCCCAGACCGUCAGCGGCGGACGGGUGAGUAACACGUGGGCAACCUGCCUGUAAGACUGGGAUAACUCCGGGAAACCGGGGCUAAUACCGGAUAACUCUUUCCCUCACAUGAGGGAAAGCUGAAAGAUGGCAUCUCGCUAUCACUUACAGAUGGGCCCGCGGCGCAUUAGCUAGUUGGUGAGGUAACGGCUCACCAAGGCGACGAUGCGUAGCCGACCUGAGAGGGUGAUCGGCCAAACGGGGACGGAGACAAGGCCCAGACUCCUACGGGAGGCAGCAGUAGGGAAUCUUCCGCAAUGGACGAAAGUCUGACGGAGCAACGCCGCGUGAGUGAUGAAGGUUUUCGGAUCGUAAAACUCUGUUGUCAGGGAAGAACAAGUACCGGAGUAACUGCCGGUACCUUGACGGUACCUGACCAGAAAGCCACGGCUAACUACGUG
rnacentral:rRNA from 1 species